CGGGACACGUGGUAUCCUGUCUGAAUAUGGGGGGACCAUCCUCCAAGGCUAAAUACUCCUGACUGACCGAUAGUGAACCAGUACCGUGAGGGAAAGGCGAAAAGAACCCCGGCGAGGGGAGUGAAAAAGAACCUGAAACCGUGUACGUACAAGCAGUGGGAGCACGCUUAGGCGUGUGACUGCGUACCUUUUGUAUAAUGGGUCAGCGACUUAUAUUCUGUAGCAAGGUUAACCGAAUAGGGGAGCCGAAGGGAAACCGAGUCUUAACUGGGCGUUAAGUUGCAGGGUAUAGACCCGAAACCCGGUGAUCUAGCCAUGGGCAGGUUGAAGGUUGGGUAACACUAACUGGAGGACCGAACCGACUAAUGUUGAAAAAUUAGCGGAUGACUUGUGGCUGGGGGUGAAAGGCCAAUCAAACCGGGAGAUAGCUGGUUCUCCCCGAAAGCUAUUUAGGUAGCGCCUCGUGAAUUCAUCUCCGGGGGUAGAGCACUGUUUCGGCAAGGGGGUCAUCCCGACUUACCAACCCGAUGCAAACUGCGAAUACCGGAGAAUGUUAUCACGGGAGACACACGGCGGGUGCUAACGUCCGUCGUGAAGAGGGAAACAACCCAGACCGCCAGCUAAGGUCCCAAAGUCAUGGUUAAGUGGGAAACGAUGUGGGAAGGCCCAGACAGCCAGGAUGUUGGCUUAGAAGCAGCCAUCAUUUAAAGAAAGCGUAAUAGCUCACUGGUCGAGUCGGCCUGCGCGGAAGAUGUAACGGGGCUAAACCAUGCACCGAAGCUGCGGCAGCGACGCUGAUGCGUUGUUGGGUAGGGGAGCGUUCUGUAAGCCUGUGAAGGUGUGCUGUGAGGCAUGCUGGAGGUAUCAGAAGUGCGAAUGCUGACAUAAGUAACGAUAAAGCGGGUGAAAAGCCCGCUCGCCGGAAGACCAAGGGUUCCUGUCCAACGUUAAUCGGGGCAGGGUGAGUCGACCCCUAAGGCGAGGCCGAAAGGCGUAGUCGAUGGGAAACAGGUUAAUAUUCCUGUACUUGGUGUUACUGCGAAGGGGGGACGGAGAAGGCUAUGUUGGCCGGGCGACGGUUGUCCCGGUUUAAGCGUGUAGGCUGGUUUUCCAGGCAAAUCCGGAAAAUCAAGGCUGAGGCGUGAUGACGAGGCACUACGGUGCUGAAGCAACAAAUGCCCUGCUUCCAGGAAAAGCCUCUAAGCAUCAGGUAACAUCAAAUCGUACCCCAAACCGACACAGGUGGUCAGGUAGAGAAUACCAAGGCGCUUGAGAGAACUCGGGUGAAGGAACUAGGCAAAAUGGUGCCGUAACUUCGGGAGAAGGCACGCUGAUAUGUAGGUGAAGCGACUUGCUCGUGGAGCUGAAAUCAGUCGAAGAUACCAGCUGGCUGCAACUGUUUAUUAAAAACACAGCACUGUGCAAACACGAAAGUGGACGUAUACGGUGUGACGCCUGCCCGGUGCCGGAAGGUUAAUUGAUGGGGUCAGCGCAAGCGAAGCUCUUGAUCGAAGCCCCGGUAAACGGCGGCCGUAACUAUAACGGUCCUAAGGUAGCGAAAUUCCUUGUCGGGUAAGUUCCGACCUGCACGAAUGGCGUAAUGAUGGCCAGGCUGUCUCCACCCGAGACUCAGUGAAAUUGAACUCGCUGUGAAGAUGCAGUGUACCCGCGGCAAGACGGAAAGACCCCGUGAACCUUUACUAUAGCUUGACACUGAACAUUGAGCCUUGAUGUGUAGGAUAGGUGGGAGGCUUUGAAGUGUGGACGCCAGUCUGCAUGGAGCCGGCCUUGAAAUACCACCCUUUAAUGUUUGAUGUUCUAACGUUGACCCGUGAUCCGGGUUGCGGACAGUGUCUGGUGGGUAGUUUGACUGGGGCGGUCUCCUCCUAAAGAGUAACGGAGGAGCACGAAGGUUGGCUAAUCCUGGUCGGACAUCAGGAGGUUAGUGCAAUGGCAUAAGCCAGCUUGACUGCGAGCGUGACGGCGCGAGCAGGUGCGAAAGCAGGUCAUAGUGAUCCGGUGGUUCUGAAUGGAAGGGCCAUCGCUCAACGGAUAAAAGGUACUCCGGGGAUAACAGGCUGAUACCGCCCAAGAGUUCAUAUCGACGGCGGUGUUUGGCACCUCGAUGUCGGCUCAUCACAUCCUGGGGCUGAAGUAGGUCCCAAGGGUAUGGCUGUUCGCCAUUU
rnacentral:rRNA from 1 species